GCAGGAGUCCUCCCCAAUGAGUCCUACCGUAGGCGACAGACGCGAAACGUGCGCAGAAGGCGAUCGCGCGAUGAGCUUAUCCUGAGUGCUAAGGCAUCGUAAGGUCUGUCGGGGGGCUUAAAAAGCACCCCAUACCAAGGUCCGGGCAAGGCCGGUGGCAGCCAGCGCGGUAAUUAAGGCGUAGGGAGUGGCGGCCGUCCGGAAUGGGCGUAAAGAAUGGGUAGCCGGGCGGGUAAGUAAUCCGGGAAAUAAGGCGCAUGAAUCAUCAGAGGACCGGAGGAUGAAACCAGCGUAGGGGCCGGCAGAGGCGGGAAGUAUUCCCGGGGUAGGGGCGAAAUAAUGUAAUGCCGUGAGGACCACCUGCGGUGAAGAAGCCCGGUUGGAACUGGUCUCACGGUGAGGGGGGAAGAACAGGGGAGGGACCCGGAUGAGAUGCCCGGGUAGUAGUGGUAGUAAUCGACGAGGGGUAGUAGUCGCUGAAGGUACGAGCUUCGGUGGUGCCGCAGGGAAGCCAAUAAGUCCGCCGCCUGGGGAGUACGGCCGCAAGGCUGAAACUUAA
rnacentral:rRNA from 1 species